UGGGGAAUUUUGGACAAUGGGCGCAAGCCUGAUCCAGCCAUGCCGCGUGUCUGAAGAAGGCCUUCGGGUUGUAAAGGACUUUUGUCAGGGAAGAAAAGGCUGUUGCUAAUAUCAGCGGCUGAUGACGGUACCUGAAGAAUAAGCACCGGCUAACUACGUGCCAGCAGCCGCGGUAAUACGUAGGGUGCAAGCGUUAAUCGGAAUUACUGGGCGUAAAGCGAGCGCAGACGGUUACUUAAGCAGGAUGUGAAAUCCCCGGGCUCAACCUGGGAACUGCGUUCUGAACUGGGUGACUAGAGUGUGUCAGAGGGAGGUAGAAUUCCACGUGUAGCAGUGAAAUGCGUAGAGAUGUGGAGGAAUACCGAUGGCGAAGGCAGCCUCCUGGGAUAACACUGACGUUCAUGCUCGAAAGCGUGGGUAGCAAACAGGAUUAGAUACUCUGGUAGUCCACGCCCUAAACGAUGUCAAUUAGCUGUUGGGCAACUUGAUUGUUCAGUAGCGUAGCUAACGCGUGAAAUUGACCGCCUGGGGAGUACGGUCGCAAGAUUA
rnacentral:rRNA from 1 species